rnacentral:lncRNA from 1 species
GUUCAUUCCCAGUUUACCCGUAGAUAUAAGUCGUUUUUUUUCAUGGCACUGAUGCUCUGGAAUUUCCAGGAAUAUCCUCCAGACCAAACAGGGCUGGUGUUCAGGCUUUAAAAUGGAUGCCUACAUGAACACAGCCUUGUUCCCCUGAAGUUCACCCUUCGCGAAAGGCACCCUUCUUUCCACAGCAGAAGGGAUGGUCGGCAGGACUUGUGCCAGGCACUGGACAACCAGCCAGGCCAGCUUCAGCGAGGUCACAAUACCAGUACUGCUGAGGGACAGCAUGUGGAAAAGGAGGGACAGAGCUGUGGUGGCACCCUGAGGCCACGUGGCAGGUCCUGUCAGCCAAACUGCCACACCAGUGUCCCCAACCACACCACCUCUCCAAGGGAAGGAGGCCACAACAAUGACAGAGGUGGCUGCCUGAAAAGCUGCUCACAUCCCACACACCCACUGCCAAAACUCUCCCUUCACGCCUACACCUCGCAGGAUGGAUUUCCCUGAGGGCUUCCCUGUUUCCUAAACAAUUUGUCCGCUAAGACGAUGCAGCUGCAGCUACCCUGGUUUGUUCAGCCAGUGCACCUUGUGUUAGGUAGCCCGACAUCAAUGUGUGAGGGGGAGAGAUGGGAGAGGAGCCACCACGAGCACCGUGCGCAGCAAGAGGUGCUGGCCACAGCCCGGCGUGACCAGCUGCAGCACGCAAUACACGUGUUCCCCCAGCGAUAGACAAAGAACAAAAUGUUCCAGCGAUACGGUCGGUGAUGCAGUUGCAAGGGCCUUGGGAGGAAUCACUCUCAUGAAAAGCUUUCAUGGUAUAAAAACCGAAUUAGGUUUCAGUCCCUGAACGGUGGCCUUGCCAGUGUGUAAAUGUAGCAUCCAAAGCACUGUUGGCUCAGCAGCGUUGCAAAUCUUCCUGACUCGAGCAAGUUCCUUAAGAGCGAGGCUGAGACUCAUCCCUUGUGCAGACCUACCCCCAUGCCACAUUUGCUCACAGACAGUCCUCCUAUCAUUCAGUAGGUAUUUGGACAACUCAUGAUGCUCAUGCAAGUUGCUUGAACAAGGUUGUCAUAAAAGUUGCAAAACAUGAAUCCUGACAGGCAAAAAUUUCACCCCAACCAAAAAAAAAAAAUAUAUUCACUCUAAUGUUCUCUGCUUAUAUGAGUAUUAGGUGGUACAUUUUCUUUUUCUGAAUCUGAAAUAAUCUGCAUGGAUACAACCCCCCAUUUAAAAUAAUAAUCAAGGUGGAAUGAAAGAUGUGAGCAGUAUACAGUGUCUCCAAUGAAAGGCAGCCAUGCUGGGACAUAAGUCAAAAUUUGGAAGACAGGUCCUACUUUUUCUGUCUGAGAUAGUUCAUAAAUCCCUGUACCACUGAAAUUAGAAUGUGAAGAUGAUGAAGAUUAGCUUGGACCAAAUUAUAUAUUGUUCAAUUUGGCCAUUUAUUUGCUAACUGCUUCUAUAACAUGGCUGCUAUCAAGAAUAUCACAAUUCUAUCAGUUUUAUGUGA